CAAACAGAAAUAGUUAAUCUUACAAUUGAUUCUAAAGCAAAAUGGAGCAUAAUUUGAAUGCUGCUUCAAACAUCAUGUAGUUCAAACCUUUAUGUCUCCUUAUAAAAACAUAAAUAUUGACGCAUUCAAUUACUAGCUAGUUUUUAGUAAUGACAGCAUCUUGUAUUUGUACAGGUCAGUAAAUAACUCACAUACUUUUGAUAGCUGUGGAAUGGUACUAUAACUCUUUGCUUUGUAUAUAAAGUAAACUUGCCAACCAUCCACGUGCAGAGCACGUAUCUGCGUGUGGAAUAAUAAAUUUUGCAUCAAUGAGCAAAAAAUAUUGGUUCAUGUAAUUUAUAAUUAUGGAAUGAAUGCACAGAGGGAUGAAAUAUUUUUUGUAUAAAGAUUGCUCUCAUCGCUUAUUGACUUGUUCAACAUUAUACCAGAUCCAUCAAAUGACACAAGAAUUGAAUGCCAAACACUCCUGACAAAAGGUGAUCAUUGUUCCCUUCAGGCAUGAAAAAAAUUUCUGCAUUUUACUACUUUUAAAUCUCAAGUUAAAGAUAACCCUGGCAAAUGAAUAACAAGUAGUGUAUCAAGGAGAAGGUGACUGUACUGAUUGUUACUGUGUUUGUAGGUCAAGGUGAGUAUGUAACGUAAUGCAACAUCAUAAGCGACAAUGGUAAGCAGUGACAUGAGCAUAAACUAGGAAUCAAAACGACUUGAGAAAAAUGAAUAGCGAUGGGCGAAAUUUCUCUUUGUCUCUAGCUAUUGAAUUCAAGAAGCUAUUAGAUAUGAUGACCUCUUCUAAGUAUAUGGAAACCCCAGAAACUCUUCUAUAGGCAUUAACCAAAGGGAAUCGAGGAAAUUCAAUGAAGAGAUUCAAGUUCAAACUCGUAAAGAUGAUUCAAAAAAUAUGUUGAAUUUCAUGGGUCUUUGUACGCAUAACAUGUUGUCAAGAAACUUGAAAAGUUUCGAAAUAUGUAGUCGCAGGAAUGCUUUUGUUAUGAAAACUUAAAUAAACGAACUCAAUUGA